AUAUGUGCAAACUUGAAGCAAAAUAAGGAAUACAAAGUACAAAUAUUAAAAAUAACAAGGGAACCAAUAAAAAACCAACGAAAGAAUCAAAGCUCAAACUUGGUGUUGUUAGAGUAGUCCAGACACAAUGUUGCCAUAGUGGCUUUCGAGGGGGAUGCUCAUAUGACUUUUCUGUUUCAACGGUUGAGAUGGCAGCCAUAGCAGUAAGAUAUGGAGGCGGUGG
rnacentral:lncRNA from 1 species